rnacentral:rRNA from 1 species
UACGUAGGGGGCUAGCGUUAUCCGGAAUUACUGGGCGUAAAGGGUGCGUAGGUGGUUUCUUAAGUCAGAGGUGAAAGGCUACGGCUCAACCGUAGUAAGCCUUUGAAACUGGGGAACUUGAGUGCAGGAGAGGAGAGUGGAAUUCCUAGUGUAGCGGUGAAAUGCGUAGAUAUUAGGAGGAACACCAGUUGCGAAGGCGGCUCUCUGGACUGUAACUGACACUGAGGCACGAAAGCGUGGGGAGAAAACAGG